rnacentral:rRNA from 1 species
GACGUAGGGGGCCAGCGUUGCUCGGAAUUACUGGGCGUAAAGGGUUCGUAGGCGGUGUGGCAAGUCGGGAGUGAAAUCUCUGGGCUUAACUCAGAGGCUGCUUCCGAAACUGCCGUGCUAGAGUGCGGGAGAGGCGAGUGGAAUUGCAGGUGUAGCGGUGAAAUGCGUAGAUAUCUGCAGGAACACCCGUGGCGAAGGCGGCUCGCUGGACCGCAACUGACGCUGAGGAACGAAAGCUAGGGGAGCAAACAGG